CAGCAGCCGCGGGAAUACGAAGGGGGCUAGCGUUGCUCGGAAUGACUGGGCGUAAAGGGCGCGUAGGCGGUUCACGCAGUCAGAUGUGAAAUUCCUGGGCUUAACCUGGGGGCUGCAUUUGAGACGCGUGGGCUUGAGUGUGAAAGAGGGUCGUGGAAUUCCCAGUGUAGAGGUGAAAUUCGUAGAUAUUGGGAAGAACACCGGUGGCGAAGGCGGCGACCUGGUUCAUAACUGACGCUGAGGCGCGAAAGCGUGGGGAGCAAACAGGAUUAGAUACCCGAGUAGUCCCUGUCUCUUAUAC
rnacentral:rRNA from 1 species